rnacentral:sRNA from 1 species
GACAUUAUUUCUGUAGUAAAAUAGAAAAAAAUUCAUUAAUGUGGUUUUCAAUUUUUAUUUCUUUUAUCUAAAAUAGAAGUGGAUAAAGUGAGUAAUAAUUGACUCUAUUGACAACAUUAUUGGUAAGAUUGUGAAUGUUUUAUUUGCAUUUCUUACACUUAUGAAGAUAUUUUACUACUAAAUAGAAAACUAUUAUUCAAGACAGAUCCAUAGUACUUGUUAGGUAUUAUUUCAAUAUAAUUCGUACUGAGAUAUUAAGAGUCUAAUAAGCCUCCAAAAUCUGUCACAUUUAUUCUUUUAAAACUUAUUUUUUCUUUAAUUCCAAUUUUGUUUAAAACUCGCCCAUUUUCCCG